rnacentral:rRNA from 1 species
AGCAGCCGCGGUAAUUCCAGCUCCAAUAGCGUAUAUUAAAGUUGUUGCAGUUAAAAAGCUCGUAGUUGAAUUUCGGGACCAAUUUGUUGGUCGUGCCUCGGUACGUACUGGUAUUAUUGGUUUCUCCCUUCUGAAGAAUCUCGAUGCCAUUAGUUUGGUGUCGUGGGGAAUCAGGACUGUUACUUUGAAAAAAUUAGAGUGUUUAAAGCAAGCAUACGCUUGAAUACAUUAGCAUGGAAUAAUGAAAUAGGACGUUUGAUUCUAUUUUGUUGGUUUCUAGGAUCGACGUAAUGAUUAAUAGGGAUAGUUGGGGGCAUUAGUAUUCAAUUGUCAGAGGUGAAAUUCUUGGAUUUAUUGAAGACUAACUACUGC